rnacentral:tRNA from 1 species
ACAUUGGUGGUUCAGUGGUAGAAUUCAUGCCUUCCGUGCGGGAGACCCAGGUUCGAUUCCCAGCCAAUGCG